GUCUACGGCCAUGCCACCCUGAACAAGCCCGAUCCCGUCUGAUCUCAGAAACUAAGCAGGGUUGGGCCUGGUUACUACUUGGAUGGGAGACCACCUAGGAAGACCUGGUGCUGUAGGUG
rnacentral:rRNA from 1 species